GGCCCGUUGGUCAAGUGGUUAAGACACCGCCCUUUCACGGCGGUAACACGGGUUCGAAUCCCGUACGGGUCACCACUU
rnacentral:tRNA from 4 species